CCUACGGGAGGCAGCAGUGAGGAAUAUUGGACAAUGGACGCAAGUCUGAACCAGCCAUGCCGCGUGCAGGAAGACGGCUCUAUGAGUUGUAAACUGCUUUUGUACGGGGGUAAACGCAGAUACGCGUAUCUGUCUGAAAGUAUCGUACGAAUAAGGAUCGGCUAACUACGCGCCAGCAGCCGCGGUAAUACGGAGGGUUCAAGCGUUAUCCGGAUUUAUUGGGUUUAAAGGGUGCGUAGGCGGUCGGUUAAGUUAGAGGUGAAAUCCCGAGGCUCAACUUCGGAAUUGCCUCUGAUACUGUUCGGCUAGAGUGUAGUAGAGGGAGGCGGAAUUUAUGGUGUAGCGGUGAAAUGCGUAGAGAUCA
rnacentral:rRNA from 1 species